GCCUGGGUGGCUCAGUCAGUUAAGCGUCUGACUUCGGCUCAGGUCAUGAUCUCACAGUCCGUGAGUUCGAGCCCCGCAUCAGGCU
rnacentral:tRNA from 1 species